rnacentral:rRNA from 1 species
UCAACUUGAGAGUUUGAUCCUGGCUCAGAACGAACGCUGGCGGCAGGCCUAACACAUGCAAGUCGAGCGCGCCCUUCGGGGUGAGCGGCGGACGGGUGAGUAACGCGUGGGAACGUGCCCUUUGCUGCGGAAUAGCCACUGGAAACGGUGAGUAAUACCGCAUGAGCCCUUCGGGGGAAAGAUUUAUCGGCAAAGGAUCGGCCCGCGUUGGAUUAGGUAGUUGGUGGGGUAAUGGCCUACCAAGCCGACGAUCCAUAGCUGGUUUUAGAGGAUGAUCAGCCACACUGGGACUGAGACACGGCCCAGACUCCUACGGGA